UCCUUACAUGGUGCCUUUGCAGAAGGGCUCCACACAUAUCACGUUCCCAGUGCCAUUCCAAGCCUAAUACACCCUAUACACCUCAUGCCACAUACACAUCACAUGCCACACACACACAUACAUACCACACAUGAUACGCACACACCAUGUACACCUCAUACUACACAUACACAUCCCAAUACCUACCUCACACACCACACACAUACACAAUAUACAUACCUACACACAAUGCAUACAUACCACACACAUAUAUACACACAAUACACACACACACCACACAUACAGAAUACGCACACAUUAUACGAUAUACCACACAUAUACAUACACACAUGCAUACAUACCAAAGGUAUAAUGCACAAUACAUACCCCCACACGCAUGCAUACACACACACAAUGCACACACACCAUACAUACAUACCUCAUAUCACACACAAUAUACACACAAUGCAUACACACCACAAACACAAACAAUACACACACACCACACAUACACAAUAUACACAAUCACACCACAUACCAUGCAUACAUAUCCACACAUGCAUACACAGCACACACACACUACAUGCCACACACAAUACCAUACACAAUACACACACCACAUACCCCUCAUACCACACACACACACACCCAUAUACACCACACACACAACACACACACACAUAAUACACAUACAUACACAUCACGCACAUAUACAUACAUCACAUACACCUCACACUUCACAUCACACACACACACACACACACACAUAUCACGUAUACCUCACACCACAUUCACGAUGCACAUCACACACCCUAUACCUCCCCUCC
rnacentral:lncRNA from 1 species